rnacentral:rRNA from 1 species
UUGGGUUAAGUCCGUAACCGAGCGCAACCCUUGUCCUUAGUUACCAGCACGUAAUGGUGGGAACGUCUAAGGAGACUGCCGGUGGACAAACCGGAGGAAGGUGGGGAUGACGUCAAGUCAUCAUGGCCCUUACGGCUAGGGCUACACACGUGCUACAAUGGUCGGUACAAAGGGUUGCCAAGCCGCGAGGUGGAGCUAAUCCCAUAAAACCGAUCGUAGUCCGGAUCGCAGUCUGCAACUCGACUGCGUGAAGUCGGAAUCGCUAGUAAUCGUGAAUCAGAAUGUCACGGUGAAUACGUUCCCGGGCCUU